AAGUCGUAACAAGGUCUCCGUUGGUGAACCAGCGGAGGGAUCAUUACCGAGUUUACAACUCCCAAACCCAUGUGAACAUUACCUCUAUGUUGCUUCGGCGGAGCCGCCCCGGCGCCCGGAACCCCCUGCGGUCCCGCGGCCCGGAACCAAGGCGCCCGCCGGAGGCCACAAACUCUUCUGUUUUUACAGUUUCUUCUGAGUGUGCCGCAAGGCAGUAUACAAAUGAAUCAAAACUUUCAACAACGGAUCUCUUGGUUCUGGCAUCGAUGAAGAACGCAGCGAAAUGCGAUAAGUAAUGUGAAUUGCAGAAUUCAGUGAAUCAUCGAAUCUUUGAACGCACAUUGCGCCCGCCAGAAUUCUGGCGGGCAUGCCUGUUCGAGCGUCAUUUCAACCCUCGAGCUCCCCUUUCGGGGGGGGCCCGGCGUUGGGGACCCGGCGCUAACAACGCCGGCCCCGAAAUGGAGUGGCGGCCCGUCCGCGGCGACCUCUGCGUAGUAACAACCACUCGCACCGGGACCCGGGCGCGGCCACGCCGUAAAACACCCCACCUUCCGAAUGUUGACCUCGAAUCAGGUAGGAAUACCCGCUGAACUUAA
rnacentral:rRNA from 1 species